GGCAGAGGCUGGGGGUGCUCUGGGGGGCAGACAGGGCCCACAGAAGCAGCGGGCCUCAGAGUCAGACAUAUCUGGUCCCUGUGGCCCCCGCAAGUUUAUGCAACCUCUUCCAGGUUCCGUUUCCUGGGCCCGAAGCUUUGUUGGGGUACAGUUGACACAAGAGAAACUGCACCAGGUAGAGUGAUACAUUCUGACAUGUGAGUACACACGUGAAGCCAUCACCCCAAAGGAGAUAAUGAACAUAAUAACCAUCACCCGCCAAAGUUUCCUCGGGCCUCUCCCUCUCCCAUGCCCAGGCCGCCGCUGUCGGCGUUGAUUGAAAGAUCCCUUCCACCUUUGGGGAGGUUCCCUCGGCUCCGUAAGUCUCCGUUUCCCCAUCUGUGAAGCGGGCUCAGCGACAUUGCCCCCGUGGGUCCUCGCGAACGCGGAGUAAGUUAAUUUGCCUAGGUGCCUGGCGCGGGAGAGACGGUCGAGAAACGGCGUCCGCUCUCCCUGAAUCGGAUCUGAGAGGAAGAGCCGUGUCAGAGACGCGAUUCCCACCCUGCGGGUGCUUGCUGUCAUCCGGCCACCUGCCGUGUGGCUGGGGCGUGGAGCCGAGGCGUGAACGACCCACGACGCCCAUGGCUGCCUGCGUCCUCGGUACCGACCGUCCCCGCCGCUCCUCUCCCCCCGAAUGUCGUCACCUCUCUCCUGAACCCGUCAUUCGAAGACUCGUUCAGGCCUCGCCACCUCCAGGAAGCCUCCCAUGAUUACUGUCACCUCGCUGACAUCUUCCUUCCUCUCUACACCCCGAUACUGUUUGGGUUGUGGCCGCACCAUCGUCAGCUGUGAGGGGAGUGUCCUGCGUUGUUUUCUGUCUCGCGUACCUCUAUUUUGAUUCCCGUUUUGAGGGUAAGUUUCUCAAGGACGGGAACUUUGUGUCAUAUUUCUUUGUGCCUUCAGCCACGACCUCGGGACCGUGGUAAAUGAGAGUGGGCGUUCAGUGGACAGGCGAGCCUUAACUUGGGCGGUGUAGAUGGUACCAGCACCCGGGCUCGUGGUCACCACACAUGGAGAAUAUUUGGGACGACAGGUGAGCGUGAGCACGUGUCUGUCGGCUCAGCUGCUGGAACCGAGCACCACACACUGGGGCCUUCCAAACAUCAGACAUUCGUUCCUGGAGGCUGGGGUCUGAGGUCAGGACACUGGCGGAUUCGGGGUCUGGUGGGGACCCCCGCCUGGUUCACAGACGGCGUCUCAUCGCUGUGACCUCACGUGGAGGAAGGCACAAGAGGGCUCUCUGGGGUCUCUUUCUAGGGACACUAAUCCCACCGUGGGGCUCUUUGACCUUGUCACCGCCCAGAGGCCCCGCCUCCUGACGCCACUGCACUGAGGGGGACGCCCGUCUCCAGGUGGCCUUCAACUCCUGUGACCUCGCAAAUAAGGCCCUCAGGUCGGUCAGCCCACGGACACCGGCAGCUGGCCAGCCCUCUCCUGCCCAGGGCUGCGGCCGGGUGUUGGGCCAUCACGAUCUUUCAGGAUGAGUAACCUUCAGCUCUGACCCACUGGGCUCCCACACGUGGACUUGCGAUGGCGUUUUGUUGACUGUCCACUACUGACUUCUGCUCGGCCUGUGGCCUGACCCAAGGCUACUCCCCUGGGGUCCUGUCCCCUCCGUCCCCCACAGAGAGAGCGAGGCCUGGCAGGCUCCUACGGCCGCCCCCACGGAAGGCCGAGCGGACACCAGACCGGCCUGCGUCUGCCCCGCUUUCUGAUACACUGCUCGUAGAGUGACUCAUCACUAAUGGGUCCUGUCAACAACCAAACGCACCAGCCAGAGGCCCAGGGGUCCUUGGCUCAGUGUGCCUUGACAUUGGACUGGAAGGGGACCCAGUAGACAGAGGGCUUUGCGGGCCGGAGGGAAGGAGAAGGAGCCAGAAUUCACGCGAGGCGAGCCUGAGCCUGGGGCCUGCCUGGGCGACCGCUCAGGCGGGUCAGCCGACGUCCAUGAGCUCACUCGCCCCUGCCUCGCUUACCCGCUG